CGCCCAGCUCGGGAGCGGCUCGCCAUGGUCGCCAUUGACCGAUUUGAUGACGGAUCUAUGACACCUGGGCGAACUGUCCCCUGAGUGGGC
rfam:Pristionchus pacificus strain PS312 contig5069, whole genome shotgun sequence.